AUGCUGAAGAAACACUGGAAGGUCACAGCUCAUAAUGGCUGCGAUGGGUGCCUCGCAUCAGAAACCAUAUAUCAUCUUAUUCUGCGAUGCUGGUUAGCAGAUGUAGUUUGGCAAAGGAUCGGCAUGCAAAGUAUCACCAAUGCUUGCCUGGACCUACAAACCUUCAUCUUAUCAGCGGAGGCCAUCGCUACGCAUGGCAAGCUUUGGCACGUUCUCUUUGCAGCGAUUGCAGUUGCUCUCUGGACAGCCCGGAACGCUCUAGUCUUCAGAACAGAGGCAUGGACUGCAUCUCGGGUUUUCAAGGAGAUUCAUCAACUUAUACAUCUAUGGAAGCAUAGAGCCCGACGCGAUCAAGAUUUAGCAACUUUGUGUAACUUUGCUGCUCUUUUCCUCCAAGCCUAA
rnacentral:rRNA from 1 species